GAUGAACGCUGGCGGCAUGCCUAACACAUGCAAGUCGUACGCGAUCACUUUUUUCGCUCGCAGGUGCCGAAUAGUAAUAUUCUGCCAUUGCGAGCGGAAUGAAUGAGUGAUUGAGUGGCGGACGGGUGAGUAACACGUUGGUACCUGCCCUAGAGUGGGGAAUAAUUCACCGAAAGGUGGACUAAUACCCCAUAGUCUUAUGCUUGUCAUAAGUAAAGCUUCGGCGCUCUAGGAGGGGCCUGCGUUUGAUUAGCUAGUUGGUGCGGGUAAAGGCCCACCAAGGCGACGAUCAAUAGCUGGAUCGAGAGGUUGACCAGCCACACUGGGACUGAGAUACGGCCCAGACUCCUACGGGAGGCAGCAGUGAGGAAUCUUCCACAAUGGGCGCAAGCCUGAUGGAGCAAUGCCGCGUGCAGGAAGACGCUUUUCGGAGUGUAAACUGCUUUUCUGAAGGAAGAUUAUGACGGUACUUCAGGAAUAAGGAUCGGCUAACUACGUG
rnacentral:rRNA from 1 species